UGGGACCCGGACACCCGCUGGGCUUCCUGGAGAUUCGUUCCCUUCGGUGGGAGGCUGGGGGGAGGGGGUAUGGGGAAGCCUUUUAGCUCUUCCCCUCCCUCCUGCCUGUCCUCCCUCCCCUCACUCCUCAUGGCAGGGCUGGAAACUGGCUGUUGAGAAACAACUACUCUGGACUUGAAGCAGGGACGGAAGUUCUGGUUCCCCAUCUAACAGGAGCCCUUUGAAGAGACCCAGAACAGCCCUGGCUCAUAUGUUCUGCCCCUGCACAGAUGAGGAGCCGCCAGGGGCCAGGCUGGGCAUCCAGAAUUAAGGGUGCAUUGAUGUCUGGCCAUCAGGCAUGGGGGAAAGAAGGCACUGUCCACCCAGAAGACCCCAGGGCCACAGUUCUCAGAGAAAAGAAAACCCCUGGGGCUUAUGGAUGCUUCUAGGGCAGGAAGGCCUGCUGGUCAGUGCUGGAAGAGUUUGGAGCUGGCUGGCAGAGAGGAGAGAGUGCAGUGCAGACACAGGGUGGGGGCUGAAUGGUCUGGCCAAGUCGAGGGUCAAGCUGCCUUGGCCAGGCUCCCAUCUCCAGCCCCAGGGCCAGCUUGUGAGGUGGAGCUGAAACAUUCAGGCAGUUUCCUCUCCUUUGUUGGGAGUGAUGUCGCCCAUUUCCUGGAUGUCCAAGAACCCAGCUUCAAACAAUGGUGCUGUCAGGAAGCCAGGAAGGGGCUGCUGCCCUGUGCUUGGUCCUGCCCAUCCCUCCCCACCUCCUGAGACCUGGCCAGGCCAUCCUUUAUGCUUAUCUCUUAGUCCGGUGUCCCGCUCUACCACCGGCACGGCUGCAGUCCUGUGGAUGGGCUGCCUUACUCUGCUUCCGAUCCCAUCUGAAGAUCGGGGCACAUCCUCACCUAGCAGAACUGCUGUGACCGUUAGGGGACAGGAACAGGAAUAGCAAGAGCAGCUAACUCACUGGGCUCAGGUAACAGAUGCUCUGGAAACUUGCCUUUUUGUAGUCGUUCAGAAAAUUCCAGCCAGCUCUAAAUGGCAGGAAUUGUCAACUCGUUUUUUCAAGGUUACUAAUUACCAACCAUGUCCAUGUGAUCACCUAUAUAUGCUAUAUGUGAAGACUGAUUCAGACUUAUAGCUUAAGGCUCAAACAAAAUUGGUGGUUGGCUUUAAUUAUCAACUCCAUACAACCCAGAGUCACCUGGGGAGAACAGUCUUAAUGAGGAUUGUCUGCACCGGCUUGGCCUGCGGGCGACUCAGUCCACUGCGGGCAGUUUCAUUCCCUGAACUGUGGAAGAAUGGGAAAACUGAGCUGAGAAGUAAGCAAGCAAGCAAACAAGCAAUUCUCUCUGCUCUUGACUGUGGGUGUCCGGCGAGCUCCUGCCACUGUGCCGCCCGGCGAUGGCAGUGUGGAACGUGAAUUAUAAACUGAAACAAACCCUUCCUUUCCAAGUCAUUUUUGUCAGGGUGUUUCGUCACAACAACAGAAAUGAGAAAGGACAAAUGAAAUCCGACACUGGAUGGUAGCGUGUAACCUGGGACAAUGACGUGGUCUGUCUGAGAUUCCUUUUCUCCAUCUGUAAUAUAGGGUAGUAGUACUACCUGUGUUAGGUGUCACUGUGAGAAAUAGACAAUGUAAGCCACUUGGUCCAGUGCCUGGCCAAAAAGUAGGUACCCAGUAAAUGCCAGCAAUCAUGAGCAUCACCAAAA